GUAGGUGGCAAGCGUUGUCCGGAAUUAUUGGGCGUAAAGCGCGCGCAGGCGGUUCUUUAAGUCUGAUGUGAAAGCCCACGGCUCAACCGUGGAGGGUCAUUGGAAACUGGAGAACUUGAGUACAGAAGAGGAAAGCGGAAUUCCACGUGUAGGCGGUGAAAUGCGUAGAGAUGUGGAGGAACACCAGUGGCGAAGGCGGCUUUCUGGUCUGUAACUGACGCUGAGGCGCGAAAGCGUGGGGAGCAAACAGGGAUUAGAUACCCUGGUAGUCCACGCCGUAAACGAUGAGUGCUAAGUGUUAGGGGGGUUUCCGCCCCCUUAGUGCUGCAGCUAACGCAUUAAGCACUCCGCCUGGGGAGUACGGCCGCAAGGCUG
rnacentral:rRNA from 1 species